rnacentral:rRNA from 1 species
CGCGUAGGCGGUUUGUUUAGUUAGGCGUGAAAUUCCUGGGCUUAACCUGGGACUGCGCGUUAAUACAGGCAGACUUGAGGUUCGGAAGAGGGUCGUGGAAUUCCCAGUGUAGAGGUGAAAUUCGUAGAUAUUGGGAAGAACACCGGUGGCGAAGGCGGCGACCUGGUCCGAUACUGACGCUGAGGCGCGAAAGCGUGGGGAGCAAACA